CUCCUCCUAGAGGAAAAUAUUGGUAGUUGCGGGAGACCUCCCUCCUCUCCACCCACCGGGUUCCCCCAAAGAAGUAUCUAGAAGUCCUCAACUUCUGUACAUUCAAAGAGAGCAGUGCACCUCCUGCAGGUAUGGGAAGAAGUCCCUUGGAAAGUGUGAUGAGUCUACUAGAUUUUACCGGUCUAGUUGGUUUUCAAGCUCCUGCUCACUGGGAUUCAGCAUAAAGGACAUUCCCAGUCCGAGAGGUUAAAAAAAAAUGAAGACAAAGCAGGUGAUUUACCAAGAAUGCAUUCCUGUUUGAAGAGAGCUAUGCUAAUACGGGACAUAGGUCUGCAGGGAGGGCAGGAAUAGGACCCAGCCUGAGGUUCGUCCUUGUUUGUGACCUAGGGAAAGGCACCAUUUGUCCAUCAGACACAGGCUCUUGGUACUUCAUUCCAUUUUGUUGAAAAAAAUUAACCAAGACGGGAGUUGUCAAAGCACUUCCCAAAGUCAGAGUGCUGUGUAAGUAUUGGCGUGAAGCACCAGACUGCCAACAACCACUUGCUUCUCCAGGCACAGAGUACAAAGGUACAAAAGUCCAGCCCCGGGCCGUCGAGCUGUCUCAUCUGGAGGAACAACGGGUCACGUGGUCUUCUUACUAUUUGCUUUGUACUGACAGCUAGUUCUGCUCUGCUCUUCUGCAGCCUGUCCUCCCCACCAUGAUGAACAAAUCCUCUUCAAUUCCAAGUCAAAAUAAAUGAGAGAUGGAGAGAUGUUUCAGCGACUAAGGUAGUUACUGUGCAAGCCCUAGGACCUGGGUCCACAGCACCCAAAAACAAUAGUGAAGAGAGCUUGGUGGCUUGCAGGUGCACAGUCAGCACCCGGGAGGCAAAGACAGGCAGCAACCUGGAGCUCACUGGUCAGUCAUGGUAAUUAGAGACUCCUAGAUCCCUUUGGGAGGCACUGUCUCAAAAUAACUGAGAAGAUGAAGAGAGGACAUCUGGGCAAAGACAUCUGAGGUCGACCUCUGGCCUUCGCAAACAUGAGCAUAAGAUCUGUGACAAAGAUGAAAUUAUCCUCCUUUAACCAACAGGAAGUCAUGAAGAGACACAAAAACAAACACAGCAACAACAACAACAACAACAAAAACCAGACUGAUCACAUAAAGGGAAAAAAUUUAGAGUCCGGAUGGGGACUCAGCUUUUUUGUAUCACCUUUAUUUUGGGGACUCUUCCUUCAGUCUCUCAAGGUCUUGGCAUCUAGUAUUGUGUCCACCUCAUUUCAAGCCACCAGCCCACCAGCCUCUAUGUGUGGCAAGAACUAAAAUUGUCCUCUAAUUCCUAGGCACCAAAGUAACUAACAGUAGUGACCAGGGGGGACAGGAGAGAUUCCUCUAUUUUGCCUUUAGUAGUACAGGUCUUGUGCAGGCAACCCACACAGGUACAGACAGAAACUAAUUAUCAUAGUCUCCAUAUUUGUUAAGUUUGAGCUAGUGAGUUGUGGAGAAUGUGUUUCAUCAUCUUGCUUUGAGAAAUAAACAUUCAUAAUGAUGUAGAGAGAUGGGUUUGAAUUUAGACAUCUCAGCAAUUAUGGACUUCUACACCUGAAAAUGCUCUUGAAGUCUUCUGAUGGUUGGUUUGAUGCUCGCUACUCAAAUUCAUUGCUUCCCUUGUGACUUCUGCCUCCGUGUUACACAUGGUGCUCCUCUACACGUACCUGGACAUCAGCUCACAUGCCCUAAAGAAGCUCUUCUCCAAUCCUAAGACGUUAGGAUAUUUAAACUGUAAGCUCCAGCCCAAAACACCCAGAGUGUGGUCCAGAGAAGGAGGCACACUUGUGUAUGGGCACUUCCCAUUCACCCAAGCAUUUCUUGUCCCUGGAGUAAAGAGAUGGUUGGAAGAAAAGCAGCUCAGCGCCUCUUUGGCAUCACCAUAAGGAAAAUAUUUUUGUUUGGUCCCAAGUCUCUUUCUUUAGUGGUGGCAAAGUUAAAGUGAGACUUUUAUCUAAGAGCAUGUGGCAAAAUGUUCCAUGCAGUUUUUAAAUUGGAGAUCUCAGGGUAGAACUCAGUGAAUAUUAACAUCAGAAAAUCUCCCCAGCCCAGGAACCAUCCUGUAAAUAGAGGCCGAAAAACGGUAAGGGCUGGGGUUGAGGUGUAAGAGAAGAGUGAUUGAGUGUCCUGUGUGCAUGACAGGACACUACACUCGUGAACACAGCAGGCCUGGCUGCCUACCUGAGACACGCGAACACAGAUGAACUCAGGCAACAUCCAACUUGGAGUGGGGAGAAGCUAAGUAGCCUCCACGGCUAGGUAAAGAGCUGCCGGGAACUGACAGCUGCUGGGAGAGGGCAGUCAGUUUUCUUUAAGGGUUAAUAUAGCUGGUCAUUCUUCAGGAGAUGGCUUCAAACCUGCAAGUAUACAGCAGCCAAAACUGAACUUGGUGGGUUAUUCAAAAGAAGGGGAAAAAGGAAGUUGAGAUGGAGUGGCAUAUAGUUAGGGAGAAGACUGGGAAGGAGUUAGCAGGGAAGAGUAGGGAAAUUAAUAUGAUCAGAACACAUUGUGCAAAAUUCUCAUAGAAUUCACAAGCUUCAGUGAACAUUCAUUGUGUGUGGUAUUGGGUUAUCGAAGAAUAUUUUCAUACAAGAGAGCAUAUGUUCCUCCAUACCUCCUGAUCCUCCCCUAUCCUCCUCUUCUCCUAUUAUCACAAGUCUUGUCUUGUUCCUAAAUAUUUUCACAUCUCCUUUCAUGACAUCUUGCGUAUGUGAUCACAUAAAGUCUAUAAAGCAACAUAAAAGAGAAAAAACGUGCAGUGUCUGCCCUGCUGAGACUGGCUUGAUUACUUAUUCUCUAGCUGCAUUCCUUCCCUUGCAAACGACAUGACUUAAUCCGUCUUUUUUUUUCUUUU
rnacentral:sRNA from 1 species